rnacentral:rRNA from 1 species
UAGCGUAGGGUGCGAGCGUUGUCCGGAAUUAUUGGGGCGUAAAGGGCUCGUAGGCGGUCUGUCACGUCGGGAGUGAAAACACGGGGCUUAACCCCGUGCCUGCUUCCGAUACGGGCAGACUAGAGGUAUGCAGGGGAGAACGGAAUUCCUGGUGUAGCGGUGAAAUGCGCAGAUAUCAGGAGGAACACCGGUGGCGAAGGCGGUUCUCUGGGCAUUACCUGACGCUGAGGAGCGAAAGUGUGGGGAGCGAACAGG